AAAAAGGUAAGCUAAAUAAGCUAGUGGGUUCAUACCCCACUUAUAAAGGUCCCAACCCUUUUCUUUUUA
rnacentral:tRNA from 1 species